GUUCACUGACAGUAUAAUAAUGUAGCUACAGUCCCGUGAUUGACCCUUUUCCUCUCACAGAGACGGCGCUGCAGUACAUUUCAGCUUCUGACCAUGUCUUUUGUCCACAGGCUGACAGUAAACUGUACCACCGCGUGGCACCUGCCCAGGAAGGAACAACACGUUUCCUGCCAGCCUUGGAGGAAGGGGAUCCGAUUAGACUCCAAGGCUGACAAUCGCGCAACCACGUUGACGGACUUGCCCUGGACCUACCCUAUCAUCCUGGAUUUGGAAUAUUUUUUAAAUAAAGUUUUGCCAAUAUAUUUUUUAAAGCGAAAUUGAUAUUUUAAAAAAAUUAAAUAAAAAAUACAUAUAUACAUUUUAUGGAUAUCCUUUGCAUAACUGUAA